AAUACCGGGGGAGCUGGAAUCGGCCGGCUGAGAGUGUAUCCCAUAGAGAUACUGACCCUUAUACCUGAUCUGGGUAAUGCCAGCGUAGGAAGCCUUG
rnacentral:ncRNA from 1 species